rnacentral:rRNA from 1 species
CACUGGAACUGAGACACGGUCCAGACUCCUACGGGAGGCAGCAGUAGGGAAUAUUGCGCAAUGGGGGAAACCCUGACGCAGCAACGCCGCGUGGAGGAUGACACUUUUCGGAGCGUAAACUCCUUUUCUUAGGGAAGAAUUCUGACGGUACCUAAGGAAUAAGCACCGGCUAACUCCGUGCCAGCAGCCGCGGUAAUACGGAGGGUGCAAGCGUUACUCGGAAUCACUGGGCGUAAAGGGCGCGUAGGCGGAUUAUCAAGUCUCUUGUGAAAUCUAAUGGCUUAACCAUUAAACUGCUUGGGAAACUGAUAGUCUAGAGUGAGGGAGAGGCAGAUGGAAUUGGUGGUGUAGGGGUAAAAUCCGUAGAUAUCACCAAGAAUACCCAUUGCGAAGGCGAUCUGCUGGAACUCAACUGACGCUAAGGCGCGAAAGCGUGGGGAGCAAACAGGAUUAGAUACCCUGGUAGUCCACGCCCUAAACGAUGUACACUAGUUGUUGGGGUGCUAGUCAUCUCAGUAAUGCAGCUAACGCAUUAAGUGUACCGCCUGGGGAGUACGGUCGCAAGAUUAAAACUCAAAGGAAUAGACGGGGACCCGCACAAGCGGUGGAGCAUGUGGUUUAAUUCGAAGAUACGCGAAGAACCUUACCUGGGCUUGAUAUCCUAAGAACCUAUUAGAGAUAAGAGGGUGCUAGCUUGCUAGAACUUAGAGACAGGUGCUGCACGGCUGUCGUCAGCUCGUGUCGUGAGAUGUUGGGUUAAGUCCCGCAACGAGCGCAACCCACGUAUUUAGUUGCUAACGGUUCGGCCGAGCACUCUAAAUAGACUGCCUUCGUAAGGAGGAGGAAGGUGUGGACGACGUCAAGUCAUCAUGGCCCUUAUGCCCAGGGCGACACACGUGCUACAAUGGCAUAUACAAUGAGACGCAAUACCGCGAGGUGGAGCAAAUCUAUAAAAUAUGUCCCAGUUCGGAUUGUACUCUGCAACUCGAGAGCAUGAAGCCGGAAUCGCUAGUAAUCGUCGAUCAGCCAUGCUACGGUGAAUACGUUCCCGGGUCUUGUACUCACCGCCCGUCACACCAUGGGAGUUGAUUUCACUCGAAGCCGGAAUACUAAACUAGUACC